rnacentral:lncRNA from 1 species
CCUACCCUCAAUAGUUGAGGUAGGACUUUGGUACACUUAGAUAUGUCUUUCCAAUCUAAAUAAAUAUGUUCUCGCUGCAACAGGGAUUCUAUGGAUGCACCAUGUACUAAACCUACCAAACCACAUGCAAAGCCCGUCACUGUGAUCUUCCACCUUAUCAGGUUGGGAUGACCUCAUUAAAAACCUGCAACUAACACCCGGGCCUUCAAGAGGGCGUCGAAUUUCCAUAUUUUCCUGUACCAAGCUGAGGUGAGCAAAGGGCCACCUGGAUUGUUCCCCAUGAAAGACAUUAGGAGGUACUUAAUUAUAUGAGUUUUUUUUUAUGUUUUAGUAAGUAUUUAUCUAUUAAAUAAAUUCGGAUUUUAAUUCUAUUUAUUUUGAAUUUAGGAAUUUAAUUAUCGUCAUUAUCUUCUAAUUUUAAUAAUUAUCUAGAUUUGAUUAGUAGUUAUCUAAAUUUUAGUUAUUUCUUUAAAUAAAGGUUGUUGGAGCAUCUCCAAAAAACUUUUUAAAUACAAUAUGUUCUUUAUUUUGAAGAGAUAAUUCUUAAAAAUAAACUUCAAAACACUCUCUAUUUUAACUUUUAGUGGUCUCUAAUGUAAAUUACAGGAAUUACUGCACAGUUCAAAACACAAAUAUGCUUUUAUUUACCACUCUCUCUUUACAGUUGUAUCUUGAUUAAAGUCAUCUUUAUGUGGCCAGAUAUCAGUAAGUCAAAUGCAAAUACACUGUUAGUUUUGUUUUUUGCAGUUUCCGAACUCAAGGACCUCAUUUGUUCAGGAGGUUUGUGUGGAGAUAUGUAGCAUAUCUAUAAAUGCUUAACAUAUGAGUCCAUAAUCCAGGCUAAAUAAUCACUCGUGUGAUUAUUGAGUAAAAAUGCAGCUCCUUUUUGAACCAGUUCUUAUCCAUAGAGGUAAAGGGAAGUUUAGUUUGAAAAGGCAGAAAAAUCAUUGAUUGGAAAUUACUUGCAUCUAUCUGUACUUUUGGAAUGUCCUUCGGAUAUUGUUAUUUAGUUGGAGUAGUUUCUUUUGGUAUAAAUAUUGACUUGAAAGUAUCAUGCUAUGGAGUUGUUGCAGCUGCAUAAAUUGAGUAUACAGAAGGAAAAUGCUAAUUUUUUUGAAGAAACUUCAUAUUUUCUUCCGUCCCACCUCUUUUGGCUAUAUUCAGUUGAUGUUUACUCAGAUGUAAUAAUGUCUCUUUGUAGGGUUGCGGAACUUCACUGAAAAAUAUCCCAUCAAGGGAAGAACUUUUUCAUUGAGAAUUGUAUCAAAUAUCACAAAAUUAUCGUUUCUUUUCUUUUGUUCCGAUUUUUAUUUUUGGUGCAGAGAGAAUCAUGGACAACAUUACUGAUAUUGGCUUACCAUAGUUCGGGUGUAGUGUAUGGGGAUUUAAGCAGUUCACCUUUGUUUGUUUUCAGUACUUUUGCAGAGGACCUUUAACAUUCAGAGUCUAAUGAGGAGAUUUAAAGGAUUUUAUCUUUUGUAUCUUUGGCAUCAACUCUUAUUCCAUUGCUUAAGUACGUUUUUAUAGUGAAUAGAGCGGAUGAUAAUGGUGAAGGUAGGACUUUUGCUUUGUAUCUCUACUCUGCCGCCAUGCUCAAGUGAGUACUCUACACAACGGACAGCUGGCCAAUGAGGAUUAGUAAUAUUACGAAAGAGAGGAAAUUUCAUCACCUAAUGGAGUGGUCUUGGAUUGGGAUUGAGCUUAUGAUCAAAAUUGGAGAAGCACAGAUAGUUGCAGAAAAUAUUGUUGCAUUUGGCCUUAAUUGGAAAUGGAGUUCUUACUCCUACAAUUUCUCAUAUAAAAUGAAAAUUUGCCUAUUUUUGUCAUAAUUGGAAAUUCCAACUGACAAGUGAUUAUUUUGCUCAUUAUGCAGUGUCUUCUGCACUUUCUAGGUUAGAGCUUGUAGUGUCAAAGCUCCAUCAGCAAUCAUCAAGAUGGUUGAUCUUAUUGGGUAUAUCAACUAUGGUCAGCACCCACACUCUGGAAUUUUAAAUUGCUUUUCAUUUAUGUUGACGAAAUUAGAUGUCCUUAUUGGAAGAUGAAGUCAAUUCUUAAUGGUGUUGAUGAAUUCGAAGUUGUUCCAAAAGCUUACUCACAAUUGACUAAAAAUUCUUUAAAGACGAAACUCUGCUGAUUCUUAUUUUCUAUAUUCCAAAAUUAUACUUUUGAGGUGAGCAACAACUAUACCCAUAGAUAUUGUGGGUUGUACACACCUUAUACCCAAUAUUUGGAAUCAACUUAUGAAUGUAAACAAGACUUUGUUCUUCCUGCUAAUCAUGAAUAUGCCUUUUUCUUUAGGCUCAUAAUGAUGCCAUUGAAGUUGAUGCGAAUUUGCCAAGGCGUUGGGUUAAUUCACAGUUAAUUGCUUUUGAUUUUUUGGAAGCAAUCUAGAUCCUUUUGGAUGAGUUAAUAUUGGAAUGAGCUACUGUUGUUUAUUUUUGCAAAAUUCUUACGAAUAAUUUAUUGUGUUACUAUUUAUGUUGCCGCAAUAUUUGUUGUUAAUGAUAAUUUCAAGUCAAUGACUAAG